AGGUUCAUAGUAUCUUUUGUAGCAGCAAUGCCCUCUGGAUCCCUUGCCACAACAAGGAAGGUAUCAACUUGGCCUCCUUUCUCUCAGAGAAUAAAGCAAACAGUUAUGCUUCACUUUUACUCCGCUAAUUUGAUGCGUGACGCCUCGCUCAACGACCGAGUGGAGCUCCGAAUUUUGGGUGACGUUGGUGCCAAGAUCCUAGUCAUAAACUUUGAUACCCCUGGUGUUCAGGGAGAGACGGAGAGAGAAUGAGAGUGGCGGAGGCCGGAGAGACGGUGCUUGUUGCUCUUCCACCUUUUAAUGCAGAGCAUCCUCAGACUAUAUUUGAUAAUAUUCUUAAUCGUAAGAUACCUUGGCCUGCAGUUCCUGAAGAAAUGAGUCCUGAAGCUCAAGAUCUUAUUGAUCGAUUAUUGACUGAAGAUCCUAACCAAAGACUUGGAGCUAGAGGUGCAUCAGAGGUGAAAGAACAUGUUUUCUUUAAGGAUAUAAAUUGGGACACACUUGCUAGAUAGAAGUGUGCCCCAGUGGAUUUGCAUCUUCUCACAGCUUCGGGAUCUUCGCAUUCAUUAAUGUCUUCCCUUGCCAAUUUAUACACACCGGAAAUACUUGGCUGGCCUCUCACAUGAAAGAUGCUACAGGAAACAGGAGCAGAUUAGCACAAAAUUGCUCACAUCUCACUCAUAACUCUGAAUGACUAGAAAACCAGAUACAUAAAAACUUAGCUUCAGCAUAAAAAUUUUAUCAACAAUGUUAGGGAAUCAAGAAGGUAUCAACCAAAAAUCAGCCAGAUGGCUCUGGGUGAAUCCAAAACUUCUACGUAAAUGAUGCUUAUGCUAGGUAUUAGGAUGUUUCUUCUAUUAAGUAUCAGAAUGUUUCUUUUUCAUACUAAAUUAAGAAUCAGGAUUGUU